rnacentral:tRNA from 1 species
GGGCCCGUAGCUCAAUUUGGUUAGAGCGAACCGCUCAUAACGGUUUGGUUGCAGGUUCGAGUCCUGCCGGGCCCACCA